CUGGGUUCAAGCGAUCCUCCCGCCUCGGCCUCCUAAAGUGCUGGGAUUACAGGUGUGAGCCACCGAGCCGGCCUAACACCACUGUGAUAGAGCCCUUCUGCUGCGCCUAACAAGAAAAAGGUGUGAGGAAUCAGGUAGAGGAUGGUAGCUCGGAAGAAACAGAGCCUGACCUCACCUGGCCAGAUAUCCAAUCUUCAUUGCCCCAAACCACUGGACCCUUGAAGAAUGUCUGAUACGGAAGCCUUACCUGACUGUGCAAGGGCAUCAAUAAAGGCAAAAAAGUGCUUCUCUAAAUCUUCCAAAUCAGAGAAUGGCCGCUGGGACCAAACAGCAGCUGCAAUCAGAGGACAUCUCUCAGUGGCAUUCCCAAACACAUCCACGAAUUCUCCAAGGUCCAUGGAGUUGACCUUCUCAAUGUCCAUUCCUUGUAUUCCACUGGAGACAGCGGGACGUCCAGCUCCCCUCUCGUUCACCGCUCCCUGGGCAAUCUGGUGGCUCCGGUCUUCCUGGAGGACAUCAGAUUGAUGCCGAACUUGGUGCAGUCACCUGAUCGGCAGAGCGCACUACAGCCCGGAACUCCUGGACUCCAGUGAUCCACCUGCCUUAGCCUCCCGAGUAGCUGGGACUACAGCCGCGUCUGGCUGUUAUUAACACUUUAAUGUCAUCAUCACCGCAGGACAUUUUCCCUGAUAAUUUAGCCAGGUCCACGGGUCAACCCACUUGGAACUUGAUUUCCUAACUAUUGUUAUUGCUGCUGUUAAGGACAGGUACUAUGUUUUUCUCAGUCUGUGUAUGCCAGAUGCUUAACACAACAAGUACUUAAUAAAUGCUCAUUAAGCAGGA